rnacentral:misc_RNA from 1 species
GCAACCUUCUCCGAUUGAAUCGAUCCGAGCAAUUCACAUUGAUGGCGCCCCUUACGUGGGAGGAGAAAAGAAGAAAUAGGUUAUUCUCGGUUACGAGAACGAGGUGUUCAGGAGAGCGUUGGCACGCGGGUGCGACGUCCCCCGUGCCUGGCUCGUUUCGUCAACAUUUCCGGUUGCGCUGUGCUACCACGAUAGGGGGCCGGAAGUAAACACGAUGCUGACCGUGUGAUCGACCGAGCGUGCUCGAUAGAUCCGUUCACGGCGGCCGACGAGCUGAGACUGAACGGCUCGUCCCCACGGAACGCCCGAUCGCGAUCUACGAGUACUACCAACGCGAGGCCACGGCCCGGCUUGGCCAUCGUGUGAGUGCCUUUCUAUACGAACUUACUCGUGUGAGUGA